ACGGCUCAGUAACACGUAGUCAACAUGCCCAGGGGACGUGGAUAACCUCGGGAAACUGAGGAUAAACCGCGAUAGGUCAUUACUUCUGGAAUGGGUAAUGACUUAAAUCUAUAUGGCCCCUGGAUUGGACUGCGGCCGAUCAGGCUGUUGGUGAGGUAAUGGCCCACCAAACCUGUAACCGGUACGGGCUCUGAGAGGAGGAGCCCGGAGAUGGGCACUGAGACAAGGGCCCAGGCCCUAUGGGGCGCAGCAGGCGCGAAACCUCUGCAAUAGGCGAAAGCUUGACAGGGUUACUCUGAGUGAUUUCCGUUAAGGAGAUCUUUUGGCACCUCUAAAAAUGGUGCAGAAUAAGGGGUGGGCAAGUCUGGUGUCAGCCGCCGCGGUAAUACCAGCACCCCGAGUGGUCAGGACGUUUAUUGGGCCUAAAGCAUCCGUAGCCGGUUCUACAAGUCUUCCGUUAAAUCCACCUGCUUAACAGAUGGGCUGCGGAAGAUACUAUAGAGCUAGGAGGCGGGAGAGGCAAGCGGUACUCGAUGGGUAGGGGUAAAAUCCGUUGAUCCAUUGAAGACCACCAGUGGCGAAGGCGGCUUGCCAGAACGCGCUCGACGGUGAGGGAUGAAAGCUGGGGGAGCAAACCGGAUUAGAUACCCGGGUAGUCCCAGCUGUAAACGAUGCAGACUCGGUGAUGAGUUGGCUUAUUGCUAACUCAGUGCCGCAGGGAAGCCGUUAAGUUUGCCGCCUGGGGAGUACGGUCGCAAGACUGAAACUUAAAGGAAUUGGCGGGGGAG
rnacentral:rRNA from 1 species